CAUAAAGUAAAAAAUAUUGCCGCGUUUUCGCAAAUCAAGUGUACCAAGUAUCCCCAGUUCCCCUAAAUAACAUGUGUGUGCCUAACCUGAUAACGUUAACAUUUCAAUGAGUGUAGUGGUAGUGGUCAAUUGACAGAUAAAUACUAAAGACACGCGAAUUUUGCAGCCAUUAAGUUUCUGGACAAGAACGUGAGUGCACUUCAACUAAUUAUUCGCCAUGUUGAAGCCAACAUUAACGCUGCUGUUGUUGGGCCUGCUCUGCCUCAGCCUUGUCACCGCUCGCCCACAACCCGACUCUUCGCCCGACAACGACGAGCAACCAUCAGCCGGCUCGCAUUCUAGUAAAUCUGACAGUAAUAACCGCGACUGUAAAUUUCUUAUCUUCUGUAAUGAUGGAGCUUUAAUUCAGUGGGGUAAUAAUAAUUCAGGAUAGUAAAAAGUUGUUUCCAUUAUCUAACAAAACAAAAAUGCCGUUGUAUUGUCAGGUUUCUCGAAACGAUUUAUAUAUAAAUGUAUAAAUAUAUUACAUUAUAUCAAGAAAUUACUUUGUAUGGUAUGAAGAAAACAUGAUCUGAUUAUAUAUGUUUCGUCUUCUUAAUAAACAUGAUAAAAACUUA